GAUGAACGCUGGCGGCGUGCCUAAUACAUGCAAGUCGAGCGAACAGACGAGGAGCUUGCUCCUCUGACGUUAGCGGCGGACGGGUGAGUAACACGUGGAUAACCUACCUAUAAGACUGGGAUAACUUCGGGAAACCGGAGCUAAUACCGGAUAAUCUAUUGAACCGCACGGUUCAAUAGUGAAAGACGGUUUUGCUGUCACUUAUAGAUGGAUCCGCGCCGCAUUAGCUAGUUGGUAAGGUAACGGCUUACCAAGGCAACGAUGCGUAGCCGACCUGAGAGGGUGAUCGGCCACACUGGAACUGAGACACGGUCCAGACUCCUACGGGAGGCAGCAGUAGGGAAUCUUCCGCAAUGGGCGAAAGCCUGACGGAGCAACGCCGCGUGAGUGAUGACGGUCUUCGGAUCGUAAAACUCUGUUAUUAGGGAAGAACAAAUGUGUAAGUAACUAUGCACGUCUUGACGGUACCUAAUCAGAAAGCCACGGCUAACUACGUG
rnacentral:rRNA from 1 species